UUAUUUAAACUUCUUUUCUGCUCUCUUGCAAUUUCUUAUCAUGUCAUCUCCAUAUUUCAUGCAAAUUCUUGUAGCUAAUGAGAUAGAGUGUAGAUUCGUGUUUGAUGGGACAUUUGUAUGUGGUCCGUUGAUUUUCGAAAUUUAAGUGACCUUCCCAGAUUGAAGAUAGGACCAUGUGAUCUUCUAACUUCAUAAGCAACUGUGAUGGUGGACAGGAGCAGAGCCCAAAUCUUGCUGCUGAGGGGGUGGGAUUGAUUUGGCAAUAAAGGACAGAGUGGCUUUGUUGAACCAAGUGGAGAGUAGGGAGCCAGGGUGGUGUUACGAAUGGUGUCUGUCUAACAUCACAGAACUGCUAACCUCGGCCAUACUGUUAGUCCCAUGAGCCAACAGUUCAAUCACGUAGUUGUAAUAAUAACUUUAUAUCAUUUCUCCCUAAUUACAGGGUUUUUGAUGCCAAA